rnacentral:misc_RNA from 1 species
CAACGACACCCCACCUCUCCCUUACCCACUCACUCCCCGCCCACUUCCUCGUGUGGCGCAGUAAAGAAGAACACGACUCGGGUGCACACCGCCGCCGCCUCUCCCCACUCCUCUUCUAGAACGCGAACACAGAGCGCCUUCAAGUGGAGAACAGCAACAAAAGCAACAGGAUGAACGCCAUGUCGCCGUUUUACAGUCGGACCUACCCGACGAGGACAACCCCGCUCAUGUGGGAGGCGACGCAGACGCUGCAGAGCUCUCUGGUCGAUCAGAGCAGCGACAUGCGCCGCUCGCUGGACCUCGCCAUGUCGCUGCACGAGGUGCUGGAGAGAAAUCGAGAGAUUUACAACAAUAUCAUCGCCGAGCGCAACGAGGCCUACCGCCGUCUGCAGGACGCAGACGCGAAACUGCAGCAGGUCGAGCAUGUCGUCCGCCGCUACGCCGAGGUGAAGGAUCCGGUUGUGGCCAGUGACGGCUACACGUACGAGCGCACGGAGCUCAGCCGCUACCUUAGCGACUGCAAGAAGUCGAACAGCAAGGCCUACUCGCAGCAGACGAAGGAGGAGCUGACAGACGUGAUGGUAGACAACGUUUCGCUGCGCCGGCUGGCGGAGCUGUUGAAGGGCGUGCACUCGGUGGAGGUGCCUCAGCUGUCGAGCCGCCCGCUGCUAGCGGGCGGUGUUGUCGACGUUAAUGGCCCUCGCUCUCACUGGGCCGAGGAGGAUCCGUCAAUGAGCGGCGCGGAUCACACUGAGAUGGGUCACGGUCCUGUCGGCCUUGCGGGCGGCGCUGGUGGCCGUGGUGGGAAUGGGAUGGCAGUGGGCCUCGGCCACGCCGGCCUCCGCUAUGAUCGGAGCGGAGGUGCCAAGUACGGCAAGCCGAGCAACGGCAACGAGGGCAAGGGCGGGCUGCAUCCGUGCCUGCGCGUGUAUGGUUUCUGCAACUUCGAGGACGACUGCACGUUUGCGAACUACCCCUACGAGGCAUGCCUGAACCAUAUCAAGGGCAAGUGCCGAUUCGGCUCCACCUGCAAGGAGCUGCACGUUGACCCGCGCGACCCCGUCUACCAGAACACACGCAGCUUUGCCAACCAUCACCACCAGGGCGGCAACAGCGCGAACACCAACCACGCCCACAGCAACGCCGCUGCCUGUGCAAACAACGCGAACAGCAGCCAGGCAGCGGAUGUUGGCGCGGAGGCGUCGAGGCAGAGCGGGAGCAAGAUGCCGGACUCUGUAGCGGAAAGGGAGGCGGAGAUUGCGGCGGCCAAGAAAGACGGUAAGUCGAAGGAGACCGAGGAGCCCGCUUCCGCUGCCGGCGCAGAUGCCGCCAAGGCCAAGGACGAAUAAACCGGCGGCGGAGUGCGCCCGUGCGUGCGUGUGUGUGUGCCGCCCCUAUCUCUCCACCGACAUCUCCUCACUUUUGCACGCCUCGGUCCGCCUUCGCGCGUAGCGGAAGGUGAUGAGGGGAGCCGCGCUCGCAUGAUAACGGCGGGGCGGCAAGAGCGGACGGAGUACGGCCAUUCGCUUCGUUUUUUUCUCUCUUCCGUUCUCAAAGAUGACAACACGCCACGGGCUCUCUGUGCGCAGUCGCAUGCCUAUGCACAGGCCCCUUCGGCUGGCCACACCGACUCCUGUGGGAGGCGUGCGGAUUCAGGAGAGGGUGGUGUGUCCCCUGCCGCCACAGACUCAUGGCUGCGUCGCACCUGCCGUGGCACGCGCGGGCAAGCCCCGAAGACGCGCCCCGGUGAAAUGGGCGGAAGCAGAGGAUGAAGACAGCGAGCCCCCGAGACAGCAACGCCGUCCUGAAACAGGCCCCACGAUCUGAAAAUGUGAGCACUGUGUGCACGCGCUGCCAGCCACAGCUGGCAUGGUGCGUCGCAUUCACGCAAGGCAUCCAGAGGUCGGCAGAGCAAGGAUGAUGGACGGUGAAGGCGGGAAGAGAUCCACACGAAUGAACCCCCCCCCCCCCACACACACACAGUGCAUGCGUGCGAAGCAUGUGCGGCACGCCCUCCAUCCGACCGUGUGGGCUGACGCGGCGGGAAGCACGACGAGAACACGGCGAGCCGCGCCAUCGAGUCCUCCCGGCUCGAAUGUGGAGAGUCACUGCAGGAUCUUGUGGAAUGCCGUGGCUUGAGGCGACGGAGGGCGAAGCAUGGCAUGCGGCCCGGGCACAGGGACUCGGAGGGCCCUAGCCCGCAGCUGGCCAGCUUCCUGCUUGAACUCACCUGAGAUGCACCUUGACCACCUCCUGUUAUCCUCGCGGCGGACGCCACCGCUUCCGGCCUGGGGCUGGACCCUGGACGCAGCCCUCUCGGAUCAAGGCAUGCCGUCCUCCCGCGUCUCCGCCUGGCGCUGAUCGCGCAGCGCGUAUCGGAGAAGGGGACGAGGAAGGGCGAGACGAGUCCGCACGACGCACGGCCCGAUUCGACGGCAGCGACGGCUCGUCCUGGUGGACCAGGAGGUAGCCGUGGUGCAGCAGAGGUAGGCGAGCCUCGGUUGUGUCUGCGUGUGUAUGUUUGUCGACUUGUUCGCGCGAACGUGUGGAGAAUACCUUCUCAGCUCUUUCUCAUCUCUUCCUUUUUAUUGUGUUGCCCGCCGGCCACUCUUGGCGUUUUCGCGUGUGCGGGUGCUUGUGGAUGCCGGCGUGUUGUGUGACCGGGGGGGGGGAGAAGACCGCCUGCUUUUUAGACCCUUUCUCUUGCGUGCUGGAGUGUUGCGAGAUGCGGGCAGAUGGUGUGGAGCGACUGUUGGGGACGGCGACGCUCAUGGUACGGUCGACGGUGUGGCGCUUACCCCCUCGCGUUGUCUCUGCGCGCGUGCGAAUCCGUUUUCCUCAGCGUUGUCGAUGGGCAGGCGGUGCGCAGCCUCGUGUGGUCGUUCUCUCUAACAUGUGUCUCGCUGCCGCCAAGUGAUGCUGUGUUGCAUGUCUGGUGUUAUCCUUCUGUGUCCGUGUCGAUGCGUGCGCCUCUCUUUAUCUUUUCAGUUGUAUUAUGGUUUGUCCACCACGCGCUUCUGAUGCGAAGAGUGGGUGGGGUGACCUGUCCGAUGGUGUGUGUGUGUGUGAUGCGGGGUGUGGAGACAGAAAAUGUUGUGUAAACGGCCAAGCCAAAGAAAAAUGGGAGGGGGAGUGUGGGAGGAGAAGAGGGUGGGAAGCUGCUCCUGUGCUCUCUGUAAGCGAGUGUUUCACCUUCAUCUUUUUUUUUUGUUCGCUGCUGGCGAAGGGAACGAACAAGGUCAGAGCGAGCAGCAAACACAAGAGGAAGCAACAAGAAGGAGAGCAGGGACUGAAGGGGGGAAGAGGGCAAGAGAGCGUCGAGGAGAGGCAGUCUGCAGAUGUGCAGCAAAGGGGUGUGGUGGGGGAGGUGUGUGGUGUGUGUGUGUGUGUGUAUGCGUGUGUGUGUGGGGGGGUGAGAGAAUGGCGAGGAGCACGGCGACCUGUUGCAUUCACUUGGGCUGUCAUCGUCUCUCACGUGACUCGUGUCUCGUGAGAAGUUGGGGCCUGGAGUCAAUCUGGCUUUCCAUGCACACACGCAAGCACACGCAUCCUCUGCUGCGUGUUGGUUUCUCGGCUGCCCACUUUCUCCGUUCCGCGUGUGCGUGUAUGCAUGCCGUGCGCACCGACGCAGACAGCUGAAGAUGGCCGUUUGUGCGUCCCCCUUUCCAUCCUUGCCUUUUCACAACGCCUCACACCCCUCUUGGAUUCUCUUUCCAUUCUCUUCUCUUACCUUGCUUGACAUGUUUCCCUGGCCUGAAC